rnacentral:rRNA from 1 species
CCUACGGGGGGCUGCAGUGGGGAAUAUUGCACAAUGGGCGCAAGCCUGAUGCAGCCAUGCCGCGUGUGUGAAGAAGGCCUUCGGGUUGUAAAGCACUUUCAGCGGGGAGGAAGGCGGUGAGGUUAAUAACCUCAUCGAUUGACGUUACCCGCAGAAGAAGCACCGGCUAACUCCGUGCCAGCAGCCGCGGUAAUACGGAGGGUGCAAGCGUUAAUCGGAAUUACUGGGCGUAAAGCGCACGCAGGCGGUCUGUCAAGUCGGAUGUGAAAUCCCCGGGCUCAACCUGGGAACUCCAUUCGAAACUGGCAGGCUAGAGUCUUGUAGAGGGGGGUAGAAUUCCAGGUGUAGCGGUGAAAUGCGUAGAGAUCUGGAGGAAUACCGGUGGCGAAGGCGGCCCCCUGGACAAAGACUGACGCUCAGGUGCGAAAGCGUGGGGAGCAAACAGGAUUAGAUACCCGUGUAGUC